rnacentral:lncRNA from 1 species
UUUUUUUCAACCAAAGUAGCAUAUUUAGCUAAAUUGAUUCCUAAUUCCUCUAUUUUCUUCCACUUUCCUAUAAUGACAACUGAUUUUAUUGCAUUUGGUUCAAAAGAAACUUUUUCAAUUCAAAUUCUUCAACUUUUCUCUUGUACCAAUGUUUAUUUUUGAAAUGACUUCUCAACAUCUUUUCCUCAUUUCUCUCUUCCUCUUCUUCAUCUCUCUCUUACUCUUUU